CAAAGGUCAGUUUAGAAUUGUGAUUCUUAUAAAUAAAACCAAUUUCCUGCUGAGAGCAGAGAGCAGCAGCCUUAGUGGGAAAGCGAAUGCCAUCGGCCGUGCCAGGAAUUUGUUUCUCAAGGACUUUUGUAGGAACAUAUCUCCAAAGAGCCACCCUCUGGAACACUCCCAUUUGAGAGAUAGGUCAACUAAGGCCUAAGGAGAUGAAGCGAGAACUCAGAAAGUCAGAAACAGGAUGGAAGAAUUCUGAAAGUUGAGUUUCUUUAAAGGGUAGAAUUCUGGGGUUUAUUUAGAAAAAGUGUUCAAAGCCAUUUCAGACUCAUGUCUUAGUGCCUCAAUCUUCAGGACUGAGCCCCAUGCCUCCUCUUCCAGGAAGCCCCCCUGUGUUUCUCUGUCUUCUCCCGCAACGUUAGAUAUAGCUUCAUCAGUGCCUGUCACACUGUAGGUACUUACCAAGUAUUUGUUGAAUUAAUGUCUCGUUGUCAUAUAUAUAUGCUUCCCCUGUUAGAUUGAACUCCUUCCAGAUGGGGGUCUUGUCUUUCUCCUCCAAGGGUCCUUCCCCCAGCCCCUGGGACACGAUUGGGGAAUGAAUGAAUGAAUGAAUGAAUGGCAGGGAGUGGCACUACGUAUCCUCCCAAGCUCUGGCCCCUCGAGAGCAGACCUGGGUCGCAAAGGGAAAUGAAGCACCAUCUCAAAGCCACAUUCCGGAAGCGGAGACGCCCCGAGCCUUCCCGACUUGAGCCUUAUUUCUGUCUGUUCCAGCACAGGGGUGUUGCUGUCUGGUGGUACAGAGAAGGAUCCUGCAGGUUUCUGCUUGCAGUCACCAGCCCUGCCGCACCUGUCCGAGAGUCGGGACGUGGAAUCCGAGGACGAGGAAGGGCGGUCCCAGUGGAAUCUGAAGAUCUUGGUGGUUUCCGUUUAAAAAAAGGAAAAAAACCCAGGUGGCAUUGGCUUUUCAGGGGAACUGGGGGAACUGUGACCCGGAGAGCUGGAUGUGUCUUCCCAUCUUCCUUAAGUGCAGCUUGUGAGAAGGCCGCAGACCUUCCAUCCACGAGGACCAUGUGGGCCCGGAUCGCUUUCAACCAGGAAUUGCACAGAAUUUCACACGUGCGACUCUUCUUCAUUGCAAACAAGUCACUCAUCAUCACUCAUAAAGGCAGGUCUACUCCACCUCUUCUUGGGGAUUCAGGAACACGUGCAGAGUGGUAGCUGGUGCAGCCUUUAGUUCUAAAUGGUCUCAGCUUUGGGGGGGUGGGCAUGGAGGUGCGAGGGGAGGCAAGAAGUACUUUUUGUGCCUAUUUGAAGUGCAACUUCCCUGGUGCCCAGCCAGGCCUGGCUUGUGGAUGGUCCACCUCAGAAGGGCUAUCCUGAGGGCGCACUCCUCAUUGGAGGGCAAGGAUGGGAGGGCUGCGGAGGAGACACUGCGGAGGAGUGCACAGGCGGGGAAAUUCCAGACACGCCCAUUUUCUACCUGGGCAGCAGACUGUCGCCACCAUCUCCCAGGACCACCCUGGCACAUUGGCAUCCUCUGGGGCCUGAGGACGGCCUUCGCCUUCCUGUGAGACCAACAAGUGGACUCCUGCCAUUUCCUUCCAUCCUCCACCCCCGUCCUCUCUCCCCCAGUUUUUACACAACAGGAUUGAUUCAUGUGAACUAGAUUCAAGUCCGCAGAUGGGGGCAGAAGAAGAGAUGGUGUUGAAUGAGCUUAUUGUUGGAGAUUUCACUGACUUCUUUUAUUGAAUACCCGCCGUCCUGGAACAUAUUGAGUGGAUUUACUGAGAUUCCAAGAGGGGCCUUUUGGAAGGAACUCUGCCUGGGUGCUCGGUACCCCUGACGUCGGGGCUGGGACCUAGCGGGUGGCGAGUUUGCUCCGGGCGCCCCGUCUCCAUUUUUAUAGUGGUGGGUCUUCUUGGGGGCAGAUAUUCUCAGUUACAGUCCCAGACUCCUUAUGAGCUAGGGAUGGUCCCCACCCUACUGCCCUUGGCAGUCAGGCCUUUUGUGGAAUUCCCUUCUAGCACAUUCUUCGAAUAAAUAAAGAUGGACACCCCA